UGCCCGCUCAAUAACUCUCCUAAAUUGAAUGUGCAGAUGAAAUCUGCCAUCAACAAAGGUGGAAAGAAAAGGGAUGAGAGACUGACUGCAACAAGGGGUGCUUUGAUGGUGUUUGGUAGGGCGCUCUUGACCUUGCUUUUGAAACCGGUUAAGGAUGAGUAGUACUUACUUCUCAUCAAAAUGUUGAGUAAUGCAAUAUUUGUUUUAAGCAAAAUACACCAUUUAGGUUCAGUAUAUAGAAGUUCAGCCGCGUUAAGCCUUUCGCUGGUCUCAAAUGAAAUGCAGCCUUGUAUGAAGGAAGUGCUCGUUGAUGCUUCUUUGCACUCUUGUUUAUGUGGAGAAGAUUUGGCUGAUAGGCUCAAAUCAAUCAGAUUAGCUGCAGAUUAGUGGCCGAGUUAAAGUCAGGUGCAUCCGGAACAAGGCUUUUAUAGCAUACAAAUUUAAACUCGACCGUCCCACUUCGUUCCGGGAAGUUGCAAGGCUGAAGUGGGUGAAAGUCAUUGUACCCUCAAAAGAGGGAAUACAGGAAGGUUCGAGAGGAAAGGGGGUGGAGUUGUGUCCCCAGGAAAAAAUAUUUACAGAAUCCUGAAUGCCCUGUAAGGCAGCAAUGUUACAAACUUGAGAUUUUCUCAGAUGGUACUCCUUUGGGUUGGGGAAUUGUGCCAGAGGACUUUGGAGUCCUAGGGAAGCUCAGUUUCAUAUUAAUGCACUAGAAUUAACUGCGGCCUCAUUUGGUCUCUAAUGCUUCGCCUCGUAUUUGACUAACUGCGAGACACUUUUGAGGAUUGAUAACACAACUGCUAUUUUGUAUGUAAAUAGAAUAGGGUGAGUAAAAUUUCCUGUUUUAAACGAAAUUUCGAGGCGCCUUGGGGUUGGUGUGAAGAAAGGAGGUUAUGGGUUAAAGCAUCUUACAUUCGAUCUUCCGAUAAUUUUGAAGCGCAUAAGGAACCCACGAAUUUGAAUUUUGAUGGUGAAUGGUACCUUUCGGACAAUGCUUUUGCUAAAAUAACAAUCAAAUUUGGAUUCCCAUAAAUCGAACUGUUUGCUUCUCGCCUAAGUAAGAAAUGCGGAAAGUUUAUUUCCUAAUUUCCAGAUCCGGAGGCAUCUAAUGAAGACGCGUUUACUGUUUUUUGGAGCGACAGUUUCUUCUAUGUUUUCCUCCCGUUUUGCUUGUUGCCACUUGUUUUACGAAAAAUCAAGGCUGAUUGAGCUACAGGGAUCGCAGUAAUCCCUUACGGGCACAGCCAGCAUUGACAAAUUACCUUCUUCUUUUGACAGGAGAGGUCACCCUUUGUGGAAAUCCCUUACCCUGGCUGCAGGGAUUUUGUCAGGCAAGCAUUCCAGAAGAUUUGCUGGAUAUUUUUCUAUCAUCUGUUCAGAGGGCUACCUUGAGGCAUUUAAUACCUGCAUGCAUUUAAACUUUGGUGGAGCUUCUACGAAAGGAGGGGAGUGGAGUGUUAUUACUUCUCACCUAGGCUGUAUUAGAUUUCCUUACUAUUCAUUUUAGACAAGGCAAGUCCUAUGGCUCAUUGAGUUCUUUCAGUGCAGCACAGCCUUAUUUUUGGAUCAGAUUUAUUUAACAAUGCAAAUCUAACUAGGUUUUUUAAGGUGUUUAUAAUCUAAGGCCAAGUAAACCAAGAUAUAACAGCACUUGGGGCCCUAGUUAUGUCCCUGACUUUGUAAAAGGGUUACGUUCUAAUGACUUGUCAUUAAAGCAAUUAACUGUCAUUAAAACAAUUAAAUUAGUUUUUCCUACUGAAGUUAACGAUGGUACAUAGAGUCCAAACGCUCUCUCUUAUAGAAUUGGUCAACAUAAAAUCAUUUCCAGAUGGAUUAGAAAUUAGAAUAACGAAUCAAAUUAAGAUUUCAGCUAUAAAUAAGACUCGACCUGUUUUUUAAUUUUGCAUAAAUAUGAAGAUGUAAAUCUUUGUGUGGUUUCAAAUAUAUUAUUGAGAGGGCCAGUGCUUUAAGAGGCAGUGAAUCUCGUUUACUCAUUACAUUUAAAAAGCCUUGUAGGGCAGCAACUAUACCCAACAAAAGUAGAUGAAUAAAGAUAACUUUAGAAGAUAGUGUUGUCUACACUUUUAUUUUUACUGUUCACAGAACUCGACAUGCCUCAACAUCGUCUGCGUUUUGUAAAGGUGUUUCAAUUGAUAUGAUUGGAAAAACGGCAGAUUGGUGAGAAUGCUCUAAAUGUUUUCCCCUUUUUUAUAAUGUAUUUGUACAGCAAGUGCAGUCCUUUUUGUUAAUGCCACAUUUGGGACAUAGAAUUUUUCAGAAGGUUUGUUUUCUCGGAUAGCCAUUUAUUUUGUAUUUGUACUCGAGGCUUUCAUAAACUUCCUGGAUUUCCUUAUAUAGCCGAAUAAAAUCGUUUUAUAACAAAUUUGCUGAGUUGCCUUUGAAAGUCUACG